GACGAACGCUGGCGGCGUGCUUAACACAUGCAAGUCGAACGGAAAGGCCCUGCUUGCAGGGUACUCGAGUGGCGAACGGGUGAGUAACACGUGGGUGAUCUGCCCUGCACUUCGGGAUAAGCUUGGGAAAAUGGGUCUAAUACCGGAUAGGAGCCAUCUUUAGUGUGGUGGUUGGAAAGUUUUUUCGGUGUAGGAUGAGCUCGCGGCCUAUCAGCUUGUUGGUGGGGUAAUGGCCUACCAAGGCGGCGACGGGUAGCCGGCCUGAGAGGGUGUACGGCCACAUUGGGACUGAGAUACGGCCCAGACUCCUACGGGAGGCAGCAGUGGGGAAUAUUGCACAAUGGGCGCAAGCCUGAUGCAGCGACGCCGCGUGGGGGAUGAAGGCCUUCGGGUUGUAAACUCCUUUCGCUAGGGACGAAGCUUUUUUGUGACGGUACCUAGAUAAGAAGCACCGGCUAACUACGUG
rnacentral:rRNA from 1 species